rnacentral:rRNA from 1 species
AUAUUUAAUGGCUGCAGUAUUUUAACUGUACGAAGGUAGCAUAAUCAUUUGUUUAGUAAUUUUAGACUAGUAUGAAUGGUUUUAUAAAAGUUAAUCUUUCUUAUUUAUAUAAAUAAGAAUUUAUUUUUUAAGUUAAAAAUCUUAAAUUUUUUUAUAGGACGAGAAGACCCUAUAGAACUUAAUAAUUCCAACAUAAAUUUAUGUUGGAAUUAUUAUAUUGGGGUGAUAUUGAUUUUUCUUUAACAAUUAUUUUUUAUUCAGUGAUUAUUGAGUUUAUGAUCCAAUUUUUUUGAUUAUAAGAUUAAGUUACCUUAGGGAUAACAGCGUAAUUUAUU